rnacentral:rRNA from 1 species
CCUACGGGUGGCAGCAGUGGGGAAUAUUGGACAAUGGGCGAAAGCCUGAUCCAGCCAUGCCGCGUGUGUGAAGAAGGCCUUCGGGUUGUAAAGCACUUUCAGUGGGGAAGAAAGCCUUGGGGCUAAUACCCUCGAGGAAGGACAUCACCAACAGAAGAAGCACCGGCUAACUCCGUGCCAGCAGCCGGGUAAUACGGAGGGUGCGAGCGUUAAUCGGAAUUACUGGGCGUAAAGCGCGCGUAGGCGGUCUGAUAAGCCGGUUGUGAAAGCCCCGGGCUCAACCUGGGAACGGCAUCCGGAACUGUCAGGCUAGAGUGCAGGAGAGGAAGGUAGAAUUCCCGGUGUAGCGGUGAAAUGCGUAGAGAUCGGGAGGAAUACCAGUGGCGAAGGCGGCCUUCUGGACUGACACUGACGCUGAGGUGCGAAAGCGUGGGUAGCAAACAGGAUUAGAUACCCCUGUAGUC